UCGUGUCGUGAGAUGUUGGGUUAAGGUCCCGCAACGAGCGCAACCCUUCGCCUUUAGUUGCCAGCAGUUCGGCUGGGCACUCUAAAGGGACUGCCGGUGUUAAACCGGAGGAAGGUGGGGAUGACGUCAAGUCCUCAUGGCCUUUAUGACCAGGGCUACACACGUACUACAAUGGCCGAUACAAAGGGCAGCGACACUGCGAGGUGAAGCCAAUCCCGUAAAAUCGGUCUCAGUCCGGAUUGGAGUCUGCAACUCGACUCCAUGAAGUUGGAAUCGCUAGUAAUCGUGGAUCAGCAUGCCACGGUGAAUACGUUCCCGGGCCUU
rnacentral:rRNA from 1 species